rnacentral:lncRNA from 1 species
GGCAGAGGUGAAGGAGACACCUGAAAUGACUUCACACCCAGAAGGGAGUGCAGGGAUUCAUCGUAGUGAACACAGAAAGGUAUUCCCAUCAAAAGUACCGUGGGCAAUCCCACCACCACACAGUAUGCCAGCCUCACGCACAACUUCACCUGGAAGGCACAGAGUACCAUGAAUGAAAUCGAUCCCUAGAAUGACCUUACCUUCCUUCAAAUCCGCUCCAUGAAGAAUGAAACUAUGGUUGCACCAGAUAAAGACUAUCUCCUGAUUGUGAUUCAGAAUCCAAGGGA